GACGAACGCUGGCGGCGUGCUUAACACAUGCAAGUCGAACGGACAGACAGAGAGCUUGCUCUCUUGAAGUUAGUGGCGAACGGGUGAGUAACGCGUAAUCAACCUGCCCUUCAGAGGGGGAUAACAACGGGAAACCGUUGCUAAUACCGCGUACGAUUCAUGAACGGCAUCGUUUAUGAAUGAAAGGUGGCCUCUAUGUAUAAGCUAUCGCUGAAGGAGGGGAUUGCGUCUGAUUAGCUAGUUGGAGGGGUAACGGCCCACCAAGGCAAUGAGCAGUAGCCGGUCUGAGAGGAUGAACGGCCACAUUGGGACUGAGACGCGGCCCAAACUCCGACGGGAGGCAGCAGUGGGGAAUCUUCCGCAAUGGACGAAAGUCUGACGGAGCAACGCCGCGUGAGUGAUGAAGGUCUUCGGAUUGUAAAGCUCUGUUAAUCGGGACGAAAGAGUUCUGCGUGAAUAAUGCAGAAAAGUGACGGUACCGGAAUAGAAAGCCACGGCUAACUACGUGCCAGCAGCCGCCGUAA
rnacentral:rRNA from 1 species